AGAGAAUUUGUACAAUGAUACAGAAGUCGGAGACCUGCAUUAAAUUGCAUCGCCUUGAGCAAUCUUUCUUCGAGCACUAACGAACAAACCGCUCCUUCAAGCUUUUUCUUUUGUGAGUUUUAUGUGGGAAUCGGUUGUUUGGUUGAACGAACACUGGUCCUUUUACAUUUUUCUUAAUUGUUGCUUCGCAAUUUGAUUUUUAUUGCUGAAUUUGAUUCCUAGGACACACCAGGGCANNN
rnacentral:lncRNA from 1 species